rnacentral:lncRNA from 10 species
AGGAUUUGUUUUAUUAUCAGGGUUCUGUGCUAUACUGUGCUGUGCUGUUUAAACUUUCAUGUGCAUAAGGCAUAGCUGAGGAUCUUAUUAACUGUACAUUCUGACUCAGUAGGUCUGGAGUAGGGCUGAGAAUCUGCAUUUCUAACAAGCUCCUCAGUGAUGAUGAGGCAGCUGGUCCACAGACCACACUUUGAGUAGCAAGGCACUAUGCUAUUGCAAUGGCAUAGAUCCUGCUCUUUCAACACAACGGCAUUUCAUCAAGUUGGAGUCAGGGGCCCUCAAUUGAUUACUUGACCCUGAUACAUUUGAGACAACAUAGAGACAAGGAAGAUAUCAAUCCAGAAGCAAUAGUGGUUGUGGAAUGCAUACAUUUCCAUGUAUUUUUACAGUAAAAAUGCAUUAAAAAAUCUUUCACAAAAGAAACUUAAAAAAUACAAUUAGGGUGUUGAGUCCUCCCCCCCAACAUUCUUUCAGGCAUCAACUGUGUAACGGAGGGAGACAAAUUCCUAAAUCGUUUGAUUUCAUCAUACAAAAUACUCAUCCAUUAUCUCUCAUCAAGACAUUUACAUUAAGUGGGGGAGGGGGGCGGCGGGAUUAAGGAAAGUAGGCUCACAAGAAUCAGUUUCCAAUUUAAGGUUACAGCAGUUCAAAGAAAACUAUAUCUUUCUGCAUAAUGCAUAGUCCCUGUACAGUACAAUAUUUCCAAACAAAUCUGAUGUGUGGAAUUCAGGUGAAACUGCCACACCAAAAAGUCCACGGAUUGAGACAAGCCCAGGUGGGUAGCACAUAGAUUUUAAAUUGCCAAAUAUCAUCUUACAACAAGAAGGACAUCAAGAUGUUAACUUCAGGAUAUAUUCCCAAAAUCCACCUUGAUUUCAUUUAUUUAAAACUCUGGAUCACAAUUGAGAGCAUCAGUCAUUUAACAUCACAGAUUUUGUUAGAACUAGUGAGAAGAAUCCUAGCAGUGGAGCCCUGGGAAUAAAAUCUCCAAGUCAGCUCUUAGGAACUUGAUGAAAAAGAACAUCAUUAUUCAGUUGUACUCUUCCUCAGCCUUACUACAGCUCAAUGUAUGCUUUGUAUGGAAAACUUUAAUAAUAAAAAUAGCAUUCACAGACUUUUCCCUCCUUUUUAGCUACAGAAUGUAUAUUGUGUCUGUUCCAGGAAAGGAACUUGUUUUAUAAAUGUCCACACAACUACAGCUACUCAUUCUAAUGUUAUGUAUAAACCCAUAAGUCAAAUAAAGCUAUGAACAAUGUAAUAUUUAUAUAUGCAUAGUGUUUUAUAAAAAGAUUGGCCCACAUACUGCUUUUCAUCAAUACAGAAAGAGCAUUAAGUCCAUAGCACACUGCAAGAAAUAAAUGAGUGAAGAACAGAGAAUGCAAACAAGUGCUUAAUAAUUCACAAGCAGGCUCACCAUGGAGGAAAUGAUGAUAUUCAAACCAACUAAAGCUUUAGAGAAUUACUUAUAUAGUCUCCCAUUUUAAAACAACUUUACAUACCUGAUUUAGUUUACAUUAAAAUAUAUCCCCAUGAAUCAAUUUGUUCCAUAUUCAGAAAUAUAAACACGUAUCACAUUCCUCACAGCUAAAUUUUGUCAUAAAUUCUCUUUUAUACAAGAAAAAAAGGCAACAGUUGUUUUCUUUUUUUUCCCAACAGGCUCUAUUAAUUACAAUUUUUAGCUCUGUACACGCAAUGAUUGGCUGGUUUUCUUUUUUUUUUUCUUUUUCCUUUUUUUUUUUCUUACAGUACCAUGGGAACAACAGUGAUUGACUUGCAAAGUUUUCUGUCUCUAUGGAAAAUGCAAAACAGUACUACAGAAAUACACAAUGCACUGUAAGCAGCGGUUUGCUGUAGUGGUCCAACAGGUACAAGCAAACAUUUUGGCUCAGCUAGGCAGUAAUCCACUUAAACCACAUCCCGGGGCUACGGCCGACCCAACCACAGCUCCUGUGGGAUCAAAAAGAAUGGGUCUGUUUAAAAAUAAAAAUUGUUAUGUUUUGUGCUGCUGUCCAAAGGACUCAAAGGACAGAGUCAUGAGGCAGAAGUUUCCCAACCAGACCUAGAAUCACUGGGACCACUUCCUUCCUUUCCCUUCUACCAACCUAGAGACUUGGACUAUGGUUUCAAAGUGAAAUUGGCAUUUCUAACAAUGAAUACCCACAGCCCUCACUUCUUUAAAUAUCAACAGAGAGGUUCCUUCCACCAAGGCUCAUUGCCUCCUCCCCAGUUUGGCAAAGGGCAACCAUGGGCUUCUACUAAAAGGGAGGGGGGCAUGCUUUCCAAAUUGGGGAUCUUACGUCUUCCUCACACCAGGCACACUGUCCCCCCAUUCCAUCUACUAUUCAGCCUCCAAUCAGACGAGACAACACGAAAGAUGCUUGUUGUCUCUUCCUCGUAGUAAUUGAGCAAAGCUGUGAUGGCAUUGCCUUCAAUGAGAUUUUAUCAGAUGUUGGUGAUGAUCACGAACCUGACUGUCUGUGCUUGGGCUGUAUUUGAGUAAAAGUGGCCGACAUUUUUGUCUGUGUGCCUUCCUGGGCCAGGGAGAGUACAAACUGUUUUCUGAACCAACUAUAACUCACAAUAUAAAACUUCUUUGUGCUGCGCAGUUUAGCUAUAAAUAUCCUUCAUUUGCAAUAGUAGUCUUGUCAUACAGUUUGCUUACUUUUAGGAUCAUCGGCAAACCUAAUCCAUCCCCAAGGGUCCUCAGCUUUUACAAAUAAAACUUUGCAUUUUUGCUCUUUGCUUUUAAGAAAAACUUCCGACUACAGUAUAGCACUACAUCACUACAUGACAGUCUAUAUCAAAUUAAUUAAACUUAAUCAAUAAAUUCCCUUACGUAGAGAAAAUGAUCAACAGCCCCAUUUAACCAGGAGAGAAAAAGAUUGCCCCAAAACGGGAACAAUUCUUGACGAUUCUACAGGUUACGUAGAAACAAAAUUUAUAUCCCUUUGGGCCAGCAUUUGGCAAAUAAUUUCCAAAAAAGUAUGCAUUUAAAAAUACUUUCUUUAAUAUGAUACAUCAGGCACAAUACUUUUCAUAUAUAUUUUUUCUUAUAAGAUUUCAAAUGCAUAAAAUGUUUGUUGUUAUUCAUAGGAUCAUCAGGUGUCAGAUGCUUCAUUAGGUAAGAAACUAAAUAAUUUCAGGUUUGUGACUUUCCUCUUAGAACCUUUGACACGGUAAAGGUUGGAAUGUGACUCAGCGUCUCAGAUACUGAGGUCGGUGCUACAUUCUUUGUAAGGUCGCCUUCUCUGCUCCGGGGGAUGUCUGGAACUUCUGCCGGCAUCCUGUUUCAGAUUCGCCUCU